rnacentral:rRNA from 1 species
GUCGGGAAUUUUGGGCAAUGGGCGAAAGCCUGACCCAGCAACGCCGCGUGAGGGAUGAAGGCCUUCGGGUCGUAAACCUCUGUCGGGAGAGAAGAAAGGCGCGCGGGUGAACAAUCCGCGCGCUUGACGGUACCUCCAAAGGAAGCGCCGGCUAACUCCGUGCCAGCAGCCGCGGUAAUACGGAGGGCGCAAGCGUUGUUCGGAAUUACUGGGCGUAAAGCGCGUGUAGGCGGCCAGGUAAGUCGGGUGUGAAAUCCCGGGGCCCAACCCCGGAACUGCACCCGAUACUGCCAGGCUGGAGUCCCGGAGAGGAUGGCGGAAUUUCCGGUGUAGAGGUGAAAUUCGUAGAUAUCGGAAGGAACACCAGUGGCGAAGGCGGCCAUCUGGACGGUGACUGACGCUGAGACGCGAAAGCGUGGGGAGCAA